rnacentral:tRNA from 1 species
GGCUACAUAGCUUGGGGGUCAGAACACUGGUCUUGUAAACCAUGGGUUGUGAGUUCAAAUUUCACUGGGACCU